CUGUCCCAGGUAUUUCAAGCUUGACUCCGCGUGACAUUAUGCGGCUGCUCACACCCAAGCCUGCAGCUGCUGACCCCAGCUAAUUGGAGACAUCGUCCGUGCCUGAGAAGGCUUCCCAGGCCCUUGCUGCAGCUACCACUAUCCAGACUCUGUCCAAGAGCGCAUAAAAGGAUUGAGCCUCUGACCCCUUAUCAACAAGGCAACUUCCCCCUCAAACCUGUGAUGUCAACC
rnacentral:lncRNA from 1 species